rnacentral:rRNA from 1 species
UCCCAGUUCGGAUUGUAGCCUGCAACCCGACUACAUGAAGCUGGAAUCGCUAGUAAUCGCGGAUCAGAAUGCCGCGGUGAAUACAUUCCCGGGUCUUGUACACACCGCCCGUCAUACCAUGGGAGUCGGAAAUGCCCGAAGUCGGUGACCGAACCGAAAGGAAGGAGCCGCCGAAGGCAGGUCUGGUGACUGGGGUGAAGUCGUAACAAGGUAGC